ensembl:lncRNA
GCCCAAAGUGAAGAAUUUGGUUCUGCUGCUGAGUAACCACGAAGGGUUGGCCAGUCCCAAUGAUGCGCAGCCCGGCUUGAGCACCCUGAGCCCGGCUGCUGGGGGGCUGAGCCCCAAAGCCCUCAGCCAGGUGCUGCUGCUGGGCCCCAAAAGUGACCCAGGCAGAAACCUGAGCCUGGCUCCACGAGUGUCCCCAUGAUGGGCUCACUCCUACUGCUGGUGACCACAGCCCAGUGAGAGCACGGCCAGGUCUGGCCUCGUCUCUGCGAUGCCAUAAAUAAUGCACGAGCCUCUGCGCACAGACCCAGGGAAAACACGUGAGCUCGCAGCCUUCUGACGUGGGAGAAAACAAGUUUAGAGGUUGCAGGUACUUUUUCUCCUCGUACCCACUGGAAAGUAGAAGUUGGUGAAGCCAAAGGAACACAUCCAAGGGCGGAUGGUUGUGCCACCAGCCCUGAGUUUCUGCAGCAAAAGGAUUUGGGCUCAUCUCCAGUCGGAUCAGAAAGCAGUCCCAUCUGACCUUGACCAACCACAGAAAACUAAGCCAGCUGAGAUAGCCAGGAAGAGAUCUCUGGUGAUGGAGAGCAGAAAUCUAUGGAGAGCCGCAGAAGAACGGGUUGGCUAUUUGGAAAGAAAAGGAAUUGUGUAGAAAACAAAAUAUUUUUGGGGAAGGAUAGACCACAACUGGGAAAAAAACAAACAAACUCUGCAAUACUGCCGUGUGAAUAGGAGAAUGAGGAGAAGAGGAGGAGAACCCGGAGCGGCCAUGGGGCACAGCAGGGAGGAGCGAGCUGUGCCCGGGUGCUGCACACGUGCACCGCAGUCAGUGCCUGUCCCAUGGAGGAGCUCAGGGCUGCUCCUGACCACAUGGAGGGCUCUGGGUUGGGCGUACCCGGGACUGUUCUGAGAUGCUGUAGUGGUCCAUCGUCACCCUGCCUUUCUGCACUAGGCACAGGCCCCUUCCUUAAGGCUGCUCAGACAAAAUCCUUGCUCCCAACGCCUCCAAUACCUGGCCCCAUAGCCAACAUCCUCCUCCGGCUUACAACACUCCCUUCUGCUCAUCAGACAACCUCAAGGACAGGGCAUUCUUAGCUACCCAGGCACCUACCCAAGUUCCCCUUGCAGCGUCUGACCCCAAACUUGGCAAAACCAAUACAGAUAUUACAGAAGGUUCGUUGCACGCCCAUAGCAGCGCACUGCAGGCAGCCACGGCUUGCCCUGCUUGAGCAGAUCAAAGCCACGUCAAGCCCAAUGCAAUAAGCACUGCUGAACAGCAAGAGACGUGAAGCCGGCCUUGGUGCUAUGCAGUGUGGUCACACGGCUUCCAGAUGUGGACAGCCCGAGCUCCUGCCUGCCCUGAGCCACCCUGUAGCCGGGGGCUGCCUGUAGACUGAAAGGCAGAGUGCAGAAAUAAAGCUGCUCUCCACCUCUUUCUGGUUAAAUCGCUCUGCAGCUUGCAGAGCUCCACCAAGGACAAUUAUUUCCAGCAUGUGCCGUGCGUGAAUGCUGCAAGCAAGGCAGAGCUGGAGUUUCAUCAUAGCCCGGCUUUGUGCGCAGAGCAGAGAAGGAGGGGAAAAAAAAAUCAAAAAGGAACUUGGAACUGAUGGCCCCCCAGCCUCACCCUGAUCCCGAGGAGGCUCCGCUCUGCUCUUGCUCAACCCGACAUCGAGAAUGAGGAAGUGGAGGAGACAGGCGGGGGAGGCGGAGGAAUGGUCAAACUGAAGACAAACAGCCCCCGAGCUGCAGGGCUGGGAAAAAGCUCCAUGAGCAAGAGGGCACGGGAGCAAAGAGCACCCUGCAUUCAUGCUGAACCCCGUCCCCAUGCGGCGGUCCCCGAGGUUUGGGUAACCAGAGUUCAGGUCUCCCAGGAGCCGGUUUCCAGCACCCAGACCUGCAACCCCUGCAGCACAUGGGGAUGGCACAGCCUGGCCGUGGUAGGGCCAUGCCGAGCCGUGCUGAGCCAGCCCCAGCCGGCCCGCUGCCUGCCUUGCUCAGCAACAGCCAGCUUUCAGCACAGCCCGCAGCUCGCUCGCUCGCCUCCGUGCUCCUGAAUACCAGGAACCACACCACCACGUUGGCUGCAAACAGGAGUUGGCAUAAAAAAUUAAAACCCAGGCAGGCGCGAGGUGCUGCAGGUGGCUGCUGCAGCCCGGGGCCCUUGUUGGUCUCUGUGUCCCUGGUCCCACCACCUCUGUCACCAUCCCCAUCCAUGCACGCACUCUGCAAUUCAUCCUGCCCCAGGGGAGGAAGAAGCACAGGUGAAGCAGCCCUAAGCUGCAUGGUCCAGGGAUGGUGGGGCAGCACCCAGCGGGGUGCUUUCUGCUGCUUUGUCCUUCCACUCGCUAGGGCAGCCAGGAGUUGCCCUGACCUUAUCCCUCUUACAGCAAAAACAACAUAGCAGAGACAUUAAGGGUGUGUGGGAGAUCCCUAAAGGGGUUCCCAGUACUGCAGCUGAGGAGAAGAUCAGGACCUGUGGCCCGUAAGGUAAACCGCACAAACAUUUUCUAUUCUCUUCAGGACAAGCAGGGAACCGAGGCACCAGCAUGGGUAAGUGGGAGGGAAAUGAAGGGCUCCUGGCCCACCCAGCUUAGGGCAACAAAGAUAGCAAGAGCCAUUGCUGGAGCUGCUAAAACUUAUCCCAGAGAUUGAAUGUUUCUCAGGGAAAGUGGCAAAUCCCAUGGGAAGGAGCACCGCAUGAGGACCAAGGAAGGGAACUAAACCCAGACAGGGAGCAGACGGAGUGCAAACCCAGCAAAGCCCUGGGGAAAGGAAAGCCAGCAAAGCUUUGAGAACAAGAGGUUUCUUUCCCUUUCAUCCCGCUGUGAUAGUUGGGGUGAGGGAGCCGACACCCAGUGCCAGGAGCAGAGCCUGAUGGAGGAGCUCAUGGGAAGGCAGCAGAGCAGCAGGACCUGCGUGAUCGCCCACAGCAAGCAGCAGUUCCAGCAAGCGUACACCCAGCCUGCAUCUCAGAAGCAUUCUGCAUCCAGAGCAUCCCUGAAAGGGAGAGCUCAUUGCCAAAACCCGGGAGCUCCGCCUGCCCAGGGUUUGCAUUUUCAUUUUGGCUGGGAAACUGGAAAAAUACAGACCUGAGAAGGCAAUUCCCCCAGCCCAUCACUGAUCUCUGACCCUGCAGUGCUGGGCUGGCACUGGGAGUCUCUUGAUUUCUGCAGUGCUGGGGGGUGGCAUGGCAGCUUUCACAAAUGGGGCCGAGGGAAUUGCGAAGUGCCAGGACAGGGACUGGGUGUGCCUGAAUGGUACCCUUUGUCCACACCUCUGAGAUAUCCAAAACCAGGGAACCUGUCCCUGCCUUUCCCUGCAGCCCCAUCCCCAGGACCCGGCCAGGAGCCCCUCUUAGCAACAGCCCUGGAUUGAAAGAAAAUAAAUGCAAUUCUGCUGAGAGGGGAGGAAAAAAAAUAAAGGCAUAAAGGAUGUGCCUCUCCAGCUCCUCCUCCCCUCCCAGAAACCUGUGUGCUAUGCAAAUAUAUGCAAAUACAGCACCGAAAGGGGGAUGAAACUGGCUCUCUAUACCAGCAUGGUUUGAGACUGGGAAGGAUUGGAAGCAGCUUGUUGGAAACUUGGGGAAGAAAUAGCUACAGGAUGAGAGGGACAAGCAAUGAGGGCUGCAGGGCGCACAUCCCCAAACCCAUCCGGCACAGCAGCACGCAGCCCCAGCCCUCCUUCUCAGCAUCCCAUUUGUGCAGGUGACACGGAAACACUUGCAAAACCCCUUUUCCCUCCGCAAAAGGAGAGAAAACAAACAAAAAAAAAGCCCCAAACUUGCUUUGCUGCUGUUUACAAUUCCCACCUGAGAAGAGACAGCGCCGCAUGUUUGCUGCCGUGGCGUUGUGCCCCAAGCAGGGACAGCAGCUGCGGACGGAGCCGGGUCGUGCUCUGCGAGGCGGGCGCUUCCCCCAGGUACUGCCAGAGUGACACCUAUCUUACAUGAGGAAUGGGCUCGUAUGAAUUCCAGCUCAUUUGUUCCAGGCAAUUUAUCCGGCCCAGCGUUGCCUUGUUUGACUCCCUACAAUGAAGAUCAACAGCUUCAAGAGAAGUUCUUGUGACUGGGCAGGACACAACAGUCUCCUGACAUCAACGUGCAAGUCCUGACGUCACCAGCAGAGCUGGAGAAAGGUCCAGAGCAGGAUGAUCAAACAGUGAGUCCGUAGGAGGAGGACCUCAGCCUGGAAACCAAGCAGCUAGAGAGGCACAUCUGGCCUCAAAAAGGUGAACCAAGUUUGAUUGCUCACUACGUCUCCCAAUAAAAGAAUUAGGAGAUACCCAAUGACAUUAAGAGGCAGCAGAUUCAAAAGGAGCAAGAGAAAAUGGCUCUUCACAUGCUAUGUGGUUAAACAGUGGAAGUCCUCACCACAGCUCUCAGGGGACGAUUAAAGCUUCUGCAUUUACAAAAAAAAUCAACCAGACAAAUUUCAUGGGGAAUCCAGGGAGGGGUAUUAAAGGCAAAAUGCUGCCUGGUUGGGGAAGUCCCUGAGCUGCCACGUGCUUGGGGCUGGGAGCGUGCACAAGAGGCACAGCCCUGCCCGGAUCUGCAGUGGGGACACCCUCUACCAUUCCUUGCAUGGAAUGGAGACAGCAGGUGACAUCUCCAAGCCAGACCCUACAAUCCCAGCAGCCUGCUGUGUCUCCAAGCCCCACCUCGGGAGGUGCCAAACCCAUGCGAGUUGCAAAGUCCAUAAGCAGUGGGACCACUCAGUGCUGUCAGUGUGCUGCUCCCAGGACCCUGGCAGGAGCCAGGCUGGGUGCACAGCUCCAGUCCUCGGGACAGCGGCUGCAUGCGUCCCCGCGAGCAGCAUCCCUCACACAGGCAGGCGCACAGAGUCCAUGCACGUAGCAAUCCCAAUUAAACCCAACUACAUCGCAAAGGGCCCUGGCAGUGCUGCAUUUAUCAGGCUGCCUGGAAGGGGCUUGUGCAAGCUGUCCCCCCGGCUGACGGAUUAGACAGCAGACAAUUAGGUUUCAGACACACACACACACACACACACACGCAAGCACACGCACGCACACAAAUCCUUUUCUCCAUCCAUCUGCAAGGCCAAGGCGGCUGAGCACAGCUGUGCGGCUGUCCAGUGCUUCUGAAGCUGCGUGCAGCUGAAUAAGAAAAAGCCCCCGCGCCUCGGCUUUCAGCGGCUGCUUGCAAAAUGAGCGAGAGGUCCCCAAAGAGAUGACACAAUUGCAAUGGAAAUGAUUAACCCUUCGCAGGUUGGUUUUGUUGCUCCGUACCGCGGCAGCCAAGCCUGGCCACGAACUCCCACUCGUUGGGUUUCAAGGACAAAGCCACAGCAACUCAGUGCUCAGCCAGCUAAACUGUGGCGGGGACGAGCAUGCUCCCGCGUCCGUGUUUCAUGGCAGCAAUCUGGGAUUUUGGGGAUCAUUUUAGACAUCUCCCUGCCAGGGUAUUCCCAGCUCCUCUAAGCAGGGAUGCUCUCUCCACACACGCAUCGCUUCUGCAAACAUCCCACCUAAAGCAUCCCCUCCUGGUGCCUGAGAGCAGACACCACGGUUGCUACACCCGGAUCCCAGCCAGCUUCGCUCCUCUGAUUGCCCCUUUCGAGGGCUGCUCGGAACAAUAAUUCAAUACCAGAAAAA